GAAUAAACCUCAGGAUGAAAAUGUUAAUAACUCGAUAUAAAUGGGAAUAUCCAAUUAUCCGUACACAAAUCAAUAUUGUUCGCUUGGGUCCAACGCUUGACCUGACCUGCAAUUUGGAUUUUUCGGUUAGAAUUUGAUGGAUACCAAUAAUUGGAGGCCUACUUCUCAAGGCGGAGAACCCAUCAUGGACACUGGUGAUUGGAGAAAUCACUUGCAGCCUGAUUCACGACAAAGAAUUGUCAAAAAGAUGCAGUUGUAGUGAUUUGUAUGGUUACUGAAGUUUGUAGUCACUAGUUAGUGAGACCACCAUGAACGACUCUUUAUCCGCUGUUGACAAGUUGUUUGUUAAGUUGGCGUGUGAACACUGAGAAUUGAAGCAUGGAUCAGCUAGCAGAUAGGGGGCCAGUCUGUGGAUUACAAAUAUAAAGCUUGAGUGCCAAAUUCAUCUGAUAGGGUUUAAUGCACUCUGUCAUUCUGGACUACCUAUAUGAGAAUACAUCCUUGUCUCAAAAAUUAUUGUUUGGAGUACCAUUGUAACUGUGCUAUGGAGAAAUAACAGGUCACUGAUAGCAAAAGAGGUUUCCUGCUUAGUAGUUCUUUAUCAUUAAUGUGUACUUAUAUUGAGUUAACAUGGAAACAAGGGAGUGUGGAAGAUGCUUCACUACAAAUAAAAGGAUUUAAGUUAUUUUAAAAUGGCAUGUCGUAAACCAGAUAUUGAUGUGUCACCAUCUUGCUUGUGAUGGAGUUAUUUAUCUAGAAUUAUGUGGUCUCAUGUGAUGAUAAACAUGGCUUAUGUCAUUAUUAAGUCCAUUCUUUUGAACAUCAAGAGAUAUUUGUUUACUCCAAAUUCUUUUCAUGGAGGAUCAUGAUCACUCCACUUGGCUAAUAUCUACUUUCUUUUUUGGCAGCAACAUAUGAGUUUGAAACUGAAAUUUAUUAUCAGUAGGAAGCUGAAAAUAUUGAGUCAUUGAGUUACAAUAUGACUAUUAGCUUACAAGUUGCUCU